rnacentral:rRNA from 1 species
CGGCAACAGCUCAAAUUUGAAAUCUGCCCGCAAGGGCCGAGUUGUAAUUUGUAGAGGAUGUUUCGGUUGCGGCCCUGGCCUAAGUUCCUUGGAACAGGACGUCAUGGAGGGUGAGAAUCCCGUACAUGGCUGAGGGCUUGCUUCUAUGUGAAACCCCUUCGAA